AUGGAAACUGAGGCUGCGGCCACACUGCUCGUCGGAAUCCUCUCUAAGAGAGGGAUAGAAGCCCCGGCGAAGCAGGUACAUGAUCUGAUCAGCUUGGGACGGCGUUGGGGUCACUUUUCYGACCCCCACCUGUUGUUUUCGGUGUCUGAGUGGCAAGAGUUUGGGGGAGCAAUGUGGCAGAAGACGAUCGGGGGAAGUGAGAAGGAGGAAAAGGAGAUAAAAGCCGUUCGCRUACUUUGGAAUACUGUGUUGGAAACUUUAACCGCGAUGAAGGCAGAGAGGGAAGUAGCGUCCGUGGCUGCGAAAAUGCUGAGCCCCGGAGCUGCCGUUAUCAGACCCCCUCCGAGUAAGUCAAGCUUGAUGUCGCGAUUUUUCGGCGGACCACUCCCCAUUAAAGGGCCAACGGUGCCGGCAUGUCGGACUGUCGCGGAGGUACUGCAAAGGGUGCGGGAGGACUCUGGGGGGGAAACGCUGCCGGCAUCUUUGCCAGCUCCAUCCCAGAAGGCGGAAGUUUCCCCAGAGCCGACCGGUCCGAGCUCUGAGGCAAACGCGGAAGUGCACCCGGAGGAGGCUCACAAAAGGGCGGUGGCCACGCCCCUUGCUGACCUCAUCGAUCUGGACGGAAAGGAGGGCCAGCCUCCCCCCGGUUUCCCCCCCUCACCGCCGCCUCGCCUGACUCCUCUGUACCCGCCGUUGCCGCCGCCUAUGCCACCUCAGCGGCCGCCUAUCCCCUCCUUUACCGAUACCACCAGUUCAUGCCAGACUCCAUCAGAGCACCCCCCGCUGUUUUCAGCCAGCGAGCCUUUGGAGAAUAGUGCACCGCACAAGAGUAGGGUUCCGCCGUCACCAAGGGAAACCGUAAGAAUGCUGCAGGAACUAUCGGAACGCCUGAAAAAGGUGGAGCUGCAGGCGCAAGAGAAAGAGAAAGGGAUAUCUCCCUGCUUAAUGAACCCCUCUUCUGGACUUCCAAGGGAGUCUUGCUGGGGCGAUAUUAUUAAAGAGGCCACAGCGGAAGGUCAGUGGCAAGCCACCGGGGAGAAGGGCGGUUCCGCCCCUUUGGCCUUACCGAUAGUAUUCCAACACGGACAGGGAAAGUGGGAACCGCAUGACUGGAAGAUUUUACGACAGGCCCGUGACACCGUUUCUACAUAUGGGGUCAAAUCGGAAGCCACUCGACAAAUAGUCAAUUGGAUUUUUUUGGCUGAUCUCAUGUGUCCAUAUGACUGUAAAAAUCUGAUGAGACUCCUACUUACUCCCACUCCGGCGUCCUCCGACAGAAGUAAGAGAGCAAGACACUGA
ensembl:lncRNA